rnacentral:lncRNA from 1 species
GCCAGGGCAAAUGGUUUUCCUUGGAUGGUGAAUUGAUCAUGAAGAAUGGGGAAAUUAUUGGAACUCGAGGCUCCACUGGUCACAGCAUUCUUAUUGAUGCCCGAUUUGAACUUCCCUAUGGAUAUGAAGACUGGGAAGCUGAUUGGGAAG